GACCGAGAGGGGCCGCAAGGGGGCGCCCGUGUCCAAGCCCCGCGGCGCAGAACGCUGGUGGGCACUGGGCUAUGAGAUCUUGCUAUAAAAGCUGGCUUUUGAGCAAGAGUGUAGUAUGCAAAGUAUUCUAUCCCAGGAGCACGUGCAUGCCCUCGGGCACGUAUCUUCUUAAGUAUGGAGGUCCACACCAGCCAUGUCUACAUAAUGAGAUCCUGUCUCAGAAAAGAAAAGGAGAAGAAAGAGGAGGGGGCUAUGUGCCUGUGGAGGCCAGAAGACAACCUUGAAUGUUCAGACCAGGCUGACAUCGAACUCACACCCUGCCUUCCUCUGCUGCCUGAGUGCUGGGAUGAAAGGCGUGCACCACCACACCUGGUGUUGGCUUCAUUUUGAAAUAUGGUCUCUUUCUGGGUCUUGGAGCGCCCUAAUUCAACUGAGAUGGCAGACCAUGAGCCUCAGAGUUCCCCUCCCCUGUCUUUGUCUCCUCAGCUCUGGGAUUACGGUUGUGCGCCUAUAUGUCUGGCCUUACAUGUGGGUUUUGGGAAUUGAAGCAAGACCCUAAUCCUUGUGCAGCAAGCACUUUACAGACGAGGUCAUCCCCUGGCCCAAAAUACUAUUUUUUAAAUGCUUUAGUACAUUUUAGUGCUGGAGAGAUGGCUCAGUGGUUCAUCCCUUUACUAUAUAGAGACUACCCAUAAGUUCUGUGACUCUAGUGAACCCUGACUACUACAAUAAAGAAAUGUUAAUAAUGGGUAUUGAUUUUUAA